CCCGGGCUCUCCGCGCUGCUACCUUUGGUUCGGAAGGGGGAGGAGGGCUGGCAGGGGGCUGGGGAACGGGAAAGGGGACCCCGGGAGCAUCCCCAGUGAACCUCAUCGCUUGGAAGCACGGCCACCCAAGUGACUCCGAGGACAAAGGAGUGUCCCGCGGUUCUGAGCGAAGAGCACCCCAGGCCCAGAAGGGUCGGGGUGUCUGCAGAGAGACGUGACCUCACACCAGAUCCAAGACACCUUUAACCUCGCUAAACACGUGCAGUUUCCAACUCUACAGCAGGAGAGAGUACCUGGCGCCCCCGGGGGUGGAUCCCCAACCGAGAAAAGCGGUCUUUGGGAGGAGUCCACUGCGCCACCCACUCAUCAGUCUCCACGUAUUACCCAAGCUCUAGCGGCCCCUUUAAGAACUCACCUGUAGCCGCCUCCUCCGAAGCCGAGCCGCCCUCCGUUCGCAGAACUGGUUUAAGUUUUGAUUGCAGCCCCGAGCGGGACUCCAGGACGCCCAGGACCUCGCUCCGGGGCUGUAGGAGAAUCACGGGAAGCUCUCCAAGUCACUGCCCAGGUCUUCGAGCCUCUUCUAGAUAACAAGACUCUCCCUGCUCUGAGGUUGAGAGAGAAGAAUUUGCCCAGGGUCAUCCAGUGUUGGUGACAAAACUGGAAACACGGAGAUCUUGUCUUUCAAAACCGGAAGACUCUUCCCAGUAAACUUGACAGCUUGUCACCGAGGCCAUAUCCUUGGGCUAGUAAAGGGAAGUGUCGGGAACCUUGUACUGUAACCAUAACAGUUAGUCAGAGGUAUGCUGACCACUGGGUUUCACUUUUGAAUUGCAGCCUAACCUGGGAGAACCCAACGACUUGAGGGCUCAUCUAGACUCCCCGUCUCAGUUUAAGAUAAAGAAACUCAGGUCCAGAGAGGAGAAGCAACUUGCCCAAGGACGUAUAGGCUAAUCUGUGACAGAAGCCCAGAAUUAGGUCUCCUAGCUGCAGUCCAGGGCUCUUUCCACUGUAAUGUUGGACAACUCGACAGUGGUAUGUUGGUAUAUUGGCAGCAGAUCUCUAUGCUGUCCUGGAUCAAGCAUCUUUGGAGCUUGAGCAACAGUUAAAACAACACUUCAUAGAAGAAAUGGGAUGGAAAAGUGAGGGAAAUCUAACAACAAGAAGCUUAAAUAGAGAGAUUUUUUAAAAUAGGGAAAUGGGACCUUUUUAAUUAGUGAAAAUGGCUGAUGUCAUGCGUCUGUUAUUAUUAAGACUUCAUUGAUGAACUGUGAAUGGAAUAGUUCCACUUAAGGAACUAUUCUAAGAGUGGAAUCUCAUCAGAAUUCAGGAGAAGGAGAGAGGGAUUUCACCCUCCCUCUUAAUAUCAUUCAUUGUUCAUAUAUGUUCACUUGCUAGGUGAUGGGGAUAGAAAUGAAUAAUAUCCAAGUCCAGCUCUCAAGGACCCACAGCCUGGUACCAAAUGGAUAAAGGCAAGUGCAGCGUUUCCCAAGGGCUACUGAAAAGUCAAAAGCAAAAUUUGUGUGAAUUCUCAAUGUCAUCCUAGUCCUCCCCUAAAAACAAAGAGGAGAGGGAGAAGGAAGAGGAGACAAGAGGGCAUGAUGCCUUUCCCUUCUUGUCAUCCUCUAUCCCUAUGCAGUUGUCAGUAGCAUCGAAAAGCAGAAAAGAAGCUGGCACUUGUUCCACCCUUAGGGGCCCUGACAAGUCCAGGCCUACUAUGAGGGACCUUUAUUCCUCAUUCCUUCUUUCUAUCAAUUUGUAUUAGUUAUCUAUAGCUGCAUAACAAAUUCCUCAAAGCUUAGUAACUUAAAACUUAGUAGCUUAGUAACUUAAACAACAAUAAACAUUAUCUCACAGUUUCUGCA
rnacentral:lncRNA from 1 species